rnacentral:rRNA from 1 species
UACGGGGGGGGCAAGCGUUGUUCGGAAUUACUGGGCGUAAAGGGCUCGUAGGCGGCCAACUAAGUCAGACGUGAAAUCCCCAGGCUCAACCUGGGAACUGCGUCUGAUACUGGUUGGCUUGAAUCCGGGAGAGGGAUGCAGAAUUCCAGGUGUAGCGGUGAAAUGCGUAGAUAUCUGGAGGAAUACCGGUGGCGAAGGCGGCAUCCUGGACCGAGAUUGACGCUGAUGAGCGAAAGCUAGGGGAGCAAACGGG